CCGCUCCGUCUGACGCGCACCCUGACACCGCCCCCGUCCCAGCGCGGCUUCCCGGUGGGCGGCACGGGCUGUGGGCUCCGCGGCGGCGGGGCCGGGGCAGAGCCGGGCGGGUGCGGACAGGCGGUGCGGGGAUGCCUGUGCGCCUCUCGGGGCGCGGCGCGCUCCUCCCCUCUCCUCCAUAGAGAGGACCCCGCGCCUCAGCACAGCACACCGCACAAUGCCGGGCCGGGCGCCCGUCCCGUCCCGCCGCCGCUCUCCUCUCUUCUUCAUCCCCGCUCCCCUCCGCCCCGGGAAAAUGGAGAACAACACAAAAGCAUCGGGAGAGAGCAGCCAGCCGAGCUGCCUGAGCCAUCGCCCUGCCCGCAGGCGGGCACAGCCAGCAGGAGCAGGCAGCUGCGCUCUCUGCCGGGAGAUUGCUGAGCACUGGGGAGAGUAUUUGGGAUAAAGAAAUUAAAGGCACAAAGGAAGCUCCACACUCCCGAGGGAAUGCUUUAGGCAUGUGCAGCUUCUGAACCUCACCAAUAAUCCUGGCUGCUACAGAAACCUUCUGAAGCUGGAAGGGACAGGGAAGACAAUUCCAGGAGCUGUGGGAAGUGCUUUCUCCUGAUUCUGGAUGGCACUGAGGUCAGAAUGAGUUCCACAUUAUCCUUGUGCCUCUUCUGUUGCCAGUCCAGGACUAAGUUGGUGUUCCAUGAGUGGCUGCAGCUCCCUGAGUGUGGACAGAAGAAGCCUGUGCUGGAGAAUGGGAGAGAGGUCCCUGCUGGUUGCUGUGUCCUCAGUGGGUACAGAACUCUGGCCAGAUGGGACAGGGAGAACCUCUGAACUUGUCCUGGCCUUGCCAAGAGCUUUGGUGUUUGAGCUGACAAAACUAAACUGGUCCUGCCCUGAUGCUGGAACUGCCUCUCUGGAUGUGUGCUGAGCUCUUGCUGCUGUGGACUGUGUGGCCUUAAUUGCUACAGGGUUCUGUUCUUCUCACUGGGGAAUUAGAAAUAAUUAUUAAUUAGAAGGCAGAGAUGUUUUCGGAAAUCUCUCCCUUUUUUUCUGCCUUUUAGUGGUAGAUGUUCUCUUUCCGCCUCUGAAUUUACAGCAAUCUUCAGAUAUCAUUUCACCUGCCCAAAUCCCUCACAGUUCAGGGGGGUGCAGGGAAGGUGGUACUGUGUGUGUAGGUAUGUAACCACGUAGCAGAUAAUCUCAGAUCCUGUAAAGCCAGACAUUUGUUUUAAAACAAAGACCAAACUCCUGCUGCCAGGAAGCUGUGAUCGGUUUAUAACCUAGCUUUAGCUCAGAGAUACUGGAUUUGUGUCAAUCAGAAUAGCCCCAACUUCCUUGCAACCCAGAGCAUCAGUGUCAGCUGACUGAGCUUCUCUGCCAUGCCACCACAGGGUGACUGUCCCCACUCUGGACAAGCAGUGCAUCAAUAAGGCAGUGGAAGGUGAAGUGAUAGAAAUCAAUCUGCCUCUCAUUAGUGGGAUGAAUAGAAGUGUUCUGGGAAGAGGGAUCACUGAGGGGGUGAGGAGAUGUAUUAAGAACUGGUUAAGAGAGAGAUAAGAGAAGGAUGUUAGUACUUUUUUGUCAGCUAAUUGGGAAUAAGCUUUGGAGGACUUUUGGAUAAAGGUGUCUCAAGUGAACAGUGUCAGGUACACUCUGAGUACAAACACUGCUCGGUAAAAGGAGCUCAGGGAAAAAUUCUGUGUGAGGCAGGUGCCUUUAUGUUUUUAGAGAUUUCAGAGAGUUUUCAAGUAAGAACCACACAUUUUCCUAAAAUGAGCAUGGGUGUUUGUAGUUGUACUGGAACUGAGCUGCUGAAGACACAGAAAUAUUUUGUAGCUGUAAUAUAUUUGUGUAUUUAUGUUUGCCUGUGCUCAGGCACACACAAGCCCACACAAAGAGCAGGAGAGACACUUGUACAUAUUUAUUUUCCUUUCUCCUACUAGAUUGCAUAUUCAUUGCUGUAUUUGUAGCCCAAAUUAAUCACAAGGAGGAAAAAGCAAUUUGCCUUGUAAGCAGAAACAGAGAUGAGGAAGUGUUUCACUCUGGAUGCAGUGACAAGUGUGGUAUUGGAGCACUUUUGGAGCAGACAGUGUGGACAAAAGAAGGGGUCUUUUCUUAGGCCUGAGCACCUUGCAUUUCUCACAACACAAAUAUGGCAUUGCUGCUUCAGGGACUGGGGCCAGCUCAUUGCAAUGCAGCACUCCAGAGGGAGGCAAGGCAAUUUGCCAUGACACCUUUUCCAUCUUGCUGCCUCGCUCACUGCUGCAGUUACAGAUGGCCAACAUUUGUGUCUUAAACAUUUAUCCUGCAAAAUAGAGACUUUUGUAUAAAAAGUAUUUGGUGCACCAAAAUAUUUCCCUUAGAUUUAAAUUUUCAUCUUGUUUCAAUCUUCAGAAAACAUUUUGAGAUUUCAGAUGUUGUUUUUUCUCCUUUUUGUCACCUUCCUUCUGUCUCACACUCUGUUUUCUGAACACAGCAGAUAUUUGCCGAGGUUGAAGGAUUUGGUGGGAGGGUCAUUUUCUCCUUUUUGUUCCUGCUUAUUUUAUUAUUUUUCCAAUUAUUUAAGGCUUUACCUAUAUUGUUAGUGUAGUGCAUUAAAAGUUUGGCUAGCACAGGAUCUCAGCCUCCUAUCACACCUCUCAAUGAAAUAAGUACAAGAUAAAAGAUUGUAUUAGAAUAAUCUUUUUUUCUCCUUUACCCAAAGUUUGUAAAAUUACCAAAUAGAUGUAAAAAUAGAUAAGCAUUUCUUAAAAUUUUGACUUUGAGGUUUUCCAUGCAGUCAGUGGCAGAUGGAAACUAUUACUGGGAAAGAAGAAGUGAAAAAUUUUACAAAUAUUUUGGGUGAAGAAAUUAAAUUUGUCUCAAUUUGAACUCUGAAAUAUAAACUAACUUCUUACUUCAAAAUUAAAAGAGUAUUUAGAAAACUCUA